GGAGGAAAAGAAACCAACAGGGAUUGCCUUAGUAACGGCGAGUGAAGCGGCAAUAGCUCAGAUUUGAAAUCUGGCCUUUGGGCCCGAGUUGUAAUCUGUAGAGGAUGCUUCGGGCAAGGUGCCUUCCGAGUCCCCUGGAACGGGGCGCCAAAGAGGGUGAGAGCCCCGUACGGUUGGAUACCAAGCCCAGGUGAAGCUCCUUCGACGAGUCGAGUAGUUUGGGAAUGCUGCUCAAAAUGGGAGGUAAAUUUCUUCUAAAGCUAAAUACCGGCCAGAGACCGAUAGCGCACAAGUAGAGUGAUCGAAAGAUGAAAAGCACUUUGGAAAGAGGGUUAAAAAGUACGUGAAAUUGUUGAAAGGGAAGCGCUUGCGACCAGACUCGCGCCUCGUGGAUCAUCCGGUGUUCUCACCGGUGCACUCCACGUGGCUCGGGCCAGCAUCGGUUCGCCCAGGGGGAUAAAAGCUCUGGGAAUGUGGCUCUCUUUUUGGGAGUGUUAUAGCCCGCUGCAGAAUACCCCUGGCGCGGACCGAGGACCGCGCCUUGUGCAAGGAUGCUGGCGUAAUGGUCGUCAGCGACCCGUCU
rnacentral:rRNA from 1 species